rnacentral:rRNA from 1 species
GACGAACGCUGGCGGCGUGCUUAACACAUGCAAGUCGAACGAGAGGAGAAGGAAGCUUGCUUCUUUCAAAUCUAGUGGCAAACGGGUGAGUAACACGUAAACAACCUGCCUUCAGGAUGGGGACAACAGACGGAAACGACUGCUAAUACCGAAUACGUUCCUUAGGUCGCAUGAUCUUAGGAAGAAAGGGUGGCCUCUACCUGUAAGCUAUCGCCUGAAGAGGGGUUUGCGUCUGAUUAGGUAGUUGGUGAGGUAACGGCCCACCAAGCCGACGAUCAGUAGCCGGUCUGAGAGGAUGAACGGCCACACUGGAACUGAGACACGGUCCAGACUCCUACGGGAGGCAGCAGUGGGGAAUCUUCCGCAAUGGACGAAAGUCUGACGGAGCAACGCCGCGUGAACGAUGACGGCCUCGGUUGUAAAGUUCUGUUAUACGGACGAAUGGUACGACGGUCAAUACCGUCGUAAGUGACGGUACCGUAAGAG